UGAUUUUGAGAAUCAACCAACCGACAAAUCCGUAGCCCAGGUGACUCACAGCCUCCCUCUUGCCCAAAUAAAAUGGGAUGAAUUAAAAAAGAAGAAGCUUUUUGAUUGAUUCAGGGCGCAGGGAAACCCAAUUCUUUCAAGGCAAAAGGGGGGCUUACUUACAAUAAUGGAUUCUUUUUUUAAGUAGGGCCCCAGAACAAAAAAAAGGUGGGGGAACCAGAGUUGUCAAUGGUUUCAGCUGCUGAGGGUGAUUUUCGUAUUUGUACUCAUGUAAGACAACUGCUUAGGUCUUGCCUCUUAAUUUUUUACGGUUGAUGAUUUUCAAAUACAUGUAACCAUUAUCCGGUGCAGUAACAAGUAAAAAUAUUAAUUUGCUACAGCAUAUAAUAUCCUUCAUUAAUGAGCUCUAAAUGGUUGACCUGGACACUUGCACCAAGGAGAAAUACCAGAUUUCUACCUUGAUUGGAAGACUAGGUUCAGUCAUAUAGGAAAAUGUAUGCUAGAGUUUGUAGCUGGAAGCUUGCGUGCUAGCAUUCCAAUAGAUUUAUUAGAGAUUGUCAACUAUUAGUAAGUAGUUUGUUUGACAUCUCCUCCACAACCUCAUAAAGAACCUCGUUUAAUAGCAAUAGAAGGAUCAUCGAAUGAGCAUUUUUCUCCAUCUGCUUUGGAGUUUGCCUCUCUAUGUGCAACGUCCUUCCGAAAAGAAGUGUUUGUACCCAUUGCUCCUUGAGCAAGAUUCUCAUCUUGAUUCUCCGUAAGUUGGAACUGUUUUUUCAUUAAACUUCUUGAUCUUGGAUGUGAUACACAUAUGUAAGAACUUGUCACAAACGCGAAAUGAGGUCGAAAACUGGUUCAGAUACCAGUUUGUUAUGCACCUAGUGCCUAAAUGAGCUCAAUGAACAAUGAAAGAAAUAGAACAAUACUAAUUGUGAAUCACACCAAUAGAGAAGGCAGAACAAAGAAUAAAUAAAGCAAGAUAAAGAUGAAUAAUUGCCUUGUUUAUUGUGCCAAUAUGUGUUACAAAUCAGUACUUUGUUGAUACCUUUACAAGUACAAGUUAGGCUUGUAUAGGGCUACAAAAUGACUACAUGUUAGUUAGAAAUACACAACAAUAAAUAACAUAACAGAAUGUAUACAAGAAACUACUAGUUCACCAAAUGACAUAACAAUGAGUCAUCAGACUAUCCCAUUAUCAGAAGAUGUCUGCAACUAUUAGAUGACCUUACUAGCAAACGACGUCUAAUAUAUCCUAGAUAUAGUUCAAUAUACUAAGAUCACCUAUGAAAACCAAAAUAAAAUAAGGAAUAGAAACAAUGAAACAAGUUACUAUCUCAACAUAUAUUAAUAUAGUCGAUCAAACCACCACCUUAGUCACAAAAGGGGCCUUUAUGAUGGAGGAGGAACUAUGCCUCUAAUGCAAUAGGGUUCAUAUUAAAUUUUGGCUUCUUGAGCAAGACGUUGUGAUUCAAGAAGCACCUCUAGCUUAUCAAGAGAGAAACAAAAUCUGUGGUAGACAUUAACAAAUUAAUAAUAGCCUGACGUUGUUAAGAUACUUAGACAUUGAUCCCAUUUCGUUUUGCAACUGUGUAGCCAAAUUGAAGUUGACAUGAUUAGGCUCAAGUAUGGCAUGAGUUGGGCAUUUUUACCCAAAUUUUUCAACAAUGAACACAUUCUAGCAAGUGUGGAAGAAGUGAAUCUAAAUUGGAGGACAAGACUAGAUUCAAAUCCCAAGGAGAGAGUCUUGUUGUUCUGAAUCUAGAUUAACAAUGUCUUCGUUGAAAUCUUGUGAAUUUUAGCAGAUCAUCAGGUCCAGACCCAAAAAUUAGAAAUGAUACCAUAAUGAAAUUCGUGAUGUGAUUAAAUGAAAUAAAAUUUAAAUAGAGAGAUUAUGUUUUUGAAACUGAAAAUGUCAUUUUUUAUACGAUGAUCUCAAUUGAGAUGAGAUGCUCACAUAAACAUAUAGCAAGUUCACAUCAAAAGAGACCAAGUAAUAUAAAGGCAACAACGUGUUGCUUCAACUUGAUGUGCAUCCAUUCUCUUUGGCUAUAAAAAAAAUUAGAUAAACAAAAACGUUAAGUUGACCUUUCUCCAUGGCGACCUGGACGAAGAGAUUCUAAUGUGUCAGUCGAGAGGUUUCGAGCCUGAGGGUAAAUAUUAUGUGUGCAAACGGAAGAUAUCGUGUGUUUGGGUGUACUCGUUUUGUUCAUAAUGUCUCUCAAAGUCUUGACAAGUUUUAUCCAAUGGCUAAUAAGUGUGUUUUUAGGAUAUUUUCAUUCCCAAAAAGGGUAUAAAUAUUAUUCACCCUCAAUUAGAAGAUAUUAUAUGUUUGUUGAUGUUACCUUCUUUAGGACACUUUUUUUCUUGUCCUCCAUGGAACAUUGUUCAUUUGUUCAAUAGGUCCUUCAUGUACCAUUGUGUGAUUCAUUGAUUAUUCCUACUUCUCUUCAAACUUCAUCUCAAACUCAGUGCAAAUGACAUUGUUCCACCACAUCUUCUCACAUUUUAGCAUUUGACACAAAUAACUCCUUCAUCCUUGCUUGAAGAUCCUUGUGACUCAGAUCCUCUGCCACUAGAUUCCCAUACCAUGGAUCCUUCGUCCUCCUUGCCUUCUCCUCACUCU
rnacentral:lncRNA from 1 species